AACGAACGCUGGCGGCAUGCCUAACACAUGCAAGUCGAACGAGACCUUCGGGUCUAGUGGCGCACGGGUGCGUAACGCGUGGGAACCUGCCCUUAGGUUCGGAAUAACUCCCCGAAAGGGGUGCUAAUACCGGAUAAUGUCUUCGGACCAAAGAUUUAUCGCCUUUGGAUGGGCCCGCGUUGGAUUAGCUAGUUGGUAGGGUAAAAGCCUACCAAGGCGACGAUCCAUAGCUGGUCUGAGAGGAUGAUCAGCCACACUGGGACUGAGACACGGCCCAGACUCCAACGGGAAGCAGCAGUGGGGAAUAUUGGACAAUGGGCGAAAGCCUGAUCCAGCAAUGCCGCGUGAGUGAUGAAGGCCUUAGGGUUGUAAAGCUCUUUUACCCGGGAUGAUAAUGACAGUACCGGGAGAAUAAGCUCCGGCUAACUCCGUG
rnacentral:rRNA from 1 species